rnacentral:rRNA from 1 species
UACGUAGGGUGCGAGCGUUGUCCGGAAUUACUGGGCGUAAAGAGCUCGUAGGCGGCUCUGUAAGUCGGGUGUGAAACCUCCAGGCUCAACCUGGAGACGCCACCCGAUACUGCUGUGGCUUGAGUCCGGUAGGGGAGCGUGGAAUUCCUGGUGUAGCGGUGAAAUGCGCAGAUAUCAGGAGGAACACCAGCGGCGAAGGCGGCGCUCUGGGCCGGAACUGACGCUGAGGAGCGAAAGCGUGGGUAGCAAACAGG